rnacentral:lncRNA from 1 species
UCUUAUUUUUGCCUCGUUUAGAACCUGCGAAAGAGGCUGAGGAGGAGGUUGUGGCCGACGUGGAGAUGCCCGAGGGACCAGUGCCAGUGGAACAGCCAGCAACAGAAGCCGAAGGUGCCAUUCCCUUGGAACCUGUUGAGCCAACACCUGAACAACCUGAAGACGGCCAACACACUGAACUUUGAUGGAUCACAACACCGCACUCUAAUUUAAUGGACUCGUCACUCACCUCACUGUCUACGGCUCGUUGGCAGCCUAGACAAAACUGUUUGAGAGGGUUCCUUUUUUUUUCUCCUCCCUUGUGGAAGUUGUUUUGUACAUAUAUAGCCGGAGUUAUUUAAUGACAACGGGGUGUAAGGUUAGCCGUGUGCUCAUUGAAAAGUGCAGCAGCAGGAGAAUGUUUCCAUGAAACAGUCUGUGCGCUAGCUUCUUCAGAGGCAUAUUGUUCAGAGCGCUUGGAAACAUCACAUUAGACACCGAGAUAGGAGCGUUGAGAAUGUGAAAAUUUCACUUUUUUUUUUUCCUCUUCAUUUGUGGAGUUAGUGAUAGCAGCCACCAGCAAAUUGAUAUUUAUCACACUUUCGUUAGCGCUUUGUGCAGAAAUCGAUUUGCCGGGAGCUCCCACGACACUGCAUCUAGCUUGUAAAAUGAUGAGCUGUGCUGUGUUUUGUAGUGUUGUCCCAGUUCUGUAUUAGAGUGGAAUUGGUGGACAGAGUUGUGAAAAAUGUUUUGAUGCUUCUGUGUGUAGGCUACUGUUCGAAUAGAUGAUUGACAAUGGAAAUGAAGCUGGUGGACUAGCACACAUUGAAGCGUAAUUUGCAGAACCCGGUAAAGGUGUUUUCUGGUUAUCUUAACCAGCAGCAGCAGCCGGUGAGCUAGUGUAAUCAUUGAUAUUUUAUAGGCACAACUGAUACAGUCGCAAUUUGCAAAAGACCAACGGACUAGUACUCAAUAUGGUGGCGUGAAUAUUGCCACAGAAAAGUUCAUUUUUCAUGCUCAUUUAAGCUAUGGUGUAUUGGACCACUUGUUAUGUUGGGUGUGCUUGCUGGACAUUGUAUAGGGGCGUAGACGAAACUGUGUCUUUAUGUGCACAUUUUUUUAGGUGUUGUGUUUGGUUGCCUUCUCAGUGUUUAGAGGCGAAAAAAAUAUUUUCCGAGCCUUUAAAUCUUGCACUUUGUGUACGGGCUGGUAACUACUACCACAACUUUUUUUUUAUUUAUUAUCUCUGUUUUCAGGCAGGUAUUUGAUUAGGCAGCCUCAGUUUGUGAUAUGUGGAAGUCCUUUUUUUUUUUAUUGCACAUUUCAUUGCACAUCGCCUCUUGUGUGAGAUAUUGAAGAAGAGUGCAGUCCUAGGAAUGAAUUCCUUUCACAUGUGCAAGUACAAAGCGUGUCUUGGAAAAUUCCAUUCGUGCACGAAAAGUGCGGUGGCCACAGCAGUGUGUGAAGUCAAGUGAGAGAGACCGUGGGCAAGACUGAGUGAAUGACCCUCCCCCCUCCCCCUUUUCCCUGACCAGAUGCAGAAUGCUGGCUGCAGUGUAUUUUCUUGUAUGUUGGUUCUCUACACCAUGUACAUAUCGAAAAACAAAUGUCCUGUUUGCAAAUAAAGGCUUGUGGUCUCGUCGUA